GUCAUUCAUCAUGGGAGUGAUAGGAAUGGACAAGUCAUUGAGCAUGGGAGUGACAGGAAUGGGCCAGUCAUUCAGCAUGGGAGUGACAGGAAUGGACCAGUCAUUCUGCAUGGGAGUGAUAGGAAUGGACCAGUCAUUCAGCAUGGGAGUGAUAGGAAUGGACCAGUCAUUCAGCAUGGGAGUGACAGGAAUGGGCCAGUCAUUCAGCAUGGGAGUGACAGGAAUGGACCAGUCAUUCAGCAUGGGAGUGAUAGGAAUGGACCAGUCAUUCAGCAUGGGAGUGAUAGGAACGCAGCUGUCACUCCAAUGCUUCAGCUGCUGGUGGCCGUGCGAUUUUAUGGAACUGGAUGCUUCCGAAUGGUGGAAGGAGACCUUUUUGGACUCCAGAAGUCAAAGCUCAAGUGUAUUCAUGAGGAUAACCAUUCCUGAGGGUAUCUUCUGUCCUCCAUGUCUUGCUGGAAUCUCGAUUCCCAUCCCGGAUUGAAGAAAUCAUUACAGCUCACAUUAUUUUCAAAUUCAUUUCAACACACUGGACCUGCAACUGCAAGGAUUCAAUCAUUAGAUCGCCCACAUCCAUCAUUCUUCUUCCUGGGUGUCCACUUCUCCGAGGACCUCUCCUGGAACCUCAACACCUCAGCCCUGAUCAAAAAGGCACAGCAGCACCCUGCUGAAGAAGGCCUGUGUGUCCUCCAAGAUACUUGUGAACUUCUACCGCUCCACAAUCGAGAGCGUUCUGGCUAACUGCGCCACAGUGUGGUUUGGUGGUUUGCUCCAUGGCCGGCCGGAAGGCCCUGCAACGGGUGGUGAAAACCGCCCAGCAAAUCACUGGUGCUCAGCUCCCAGCCAUCAUAGACCUCCAGCGCAAGCAGUUUCUGCAUAGGGCGCGCGGCAUCCUCAGAGACCCUUCACAUCCAGGCCACAAACUGUUUUGCCCUCCUUCCAUCAGGCAGGUGGUACAGGUCUCUUUGUUCCUGCACCAGCAGGUUCAGGAACAGUUUCUUUCCAUCUACUGUAACUCUGCUGAACUUUGUGACCCAUCACUAACCUUAUACAUAUACUUAUUACAUA
rnacentral:lncRNA from 1 species